rnacentral:rRNA from 1 species
GAUGAACGCUGGCGGCGUGCUUAAUACAUGCAAGUCGAACGGAGACUGUAGCAAUACUGUCUUAGUGGCGAACGGGUGAGUAACGCGUUGGUGACCUGCCCCGAAGAGGGGGAUAACAGUCCGAAAGGAUUGCUAAUACCCCAUGUGGUCGUUUGGAUUAGAUGCCUUAUGACUAAACGGAUUUAUUCGCUUCGGGAGGGGCCUGCGUCCCAUCAGCUAGUUGGUGAGGUAAUAGCUUACCAAGGCGAUGACGGGUAGGGGACCUGAGAGGGUGGCCCCCCACAAUGGAACUGAAACACGGUCCAUACACCUACGGGUGGCAGCAGUAGGGAAUAUUGGUAAUCUGGGAAACCGGGAACCAGCAACGCCGCGUGCGCGAUGACGGCCUUCGGGUUGUAAAGCGCUUUUUAAAGGGAUGAGGAAGGACAGUACCUUUAGAAUAAGCCUCGGCUAACUACGUGCCAGCAGCCGCGGUAAUAC